UAGCCCCUUCAGGAGUGCCGUUGUCGCUAGGGAUGUUCUGAACCAACACCCUAACUGAGGGAGCUGAUCGCUCGAGAACGUGCGUAGGCGCGAGGAGCCAUAAAAGGCUCGCCUAGCGGAAACGCUGAAAGUUCGAGAGGUAGGCACCCACCUGCGAGCUUGCAGGUUCAGGAACACGGUGGCGACGGCACUCGGGGUAUUU
rnacentral:sRNA from 1 species